rnacentral:rRNA from 1 species
AGACUCUGUGCGCGUGCAUAUCAAUAAGCGGAGGAAAAGAAACUAACUAGGAUUCCCUUAGUAACGGCGAGUGAAGCGGGAAGAGCUCAAAUUUGAAAUCUUCAAGGUUCUACCUUGACGAAUUGUAGUUUAUAGAAGUGUUUUCUGUUAGGAGUUGGCUAAAAGUUCUUUGGAAUAGGACAUCAUAGAGGGUGAGAAUCCCGUAUUUGAUCAUUCUUUCUAAGCGUUGUGAUACACUUUCAACGAGUCGGAUUGUUUGGGAAUGCAGUCCAAAAUGGGUGGUAAAUUUCAUCUAAAGCCUAAAUAUUGGCGAGAGACCGAUAGCGAACAAGUACCGUGAGGGAAAGAUGAAAAGAACUUUGAAAAGAGAGUUAAACAGUACGUGAAAUUGUCAAAAGGGAAGCGUUUGACACCAGUGUUGUUUUUCCGAAAAUCAAUUACGAAUGUUUUGUUUUUGAGAAGUUAUGACUUCAUCGGCUUGCUUCUCUCUUUACGAAACCUUCUUAAUGCACUUUUCGGUUAACAAGUCAACAUCAAUUUCUUUUGUUGUAAAAGGGUAUGAGGAAGGUGGCUUUCUUUUCGGAGAAAGUGUUUAUAGCCUUGUGCCUCUGCAAUCGGAGAGAUUGAGGUCUGCAGCGUAGAUCCUUCGGGGUUAGAUACAUUUGUGCUAAGUUAUAGCUUUUCAUAGACAACUUGUUGACUAUGUUAAGUCUUGUAGCUUACUCGCUUAUGCUAUUUUACCUACGCUUAGGAUGUUGACGAUCAGCUGAGCGCG